AGUCUACGCAGCGCGAGCGAGCAGUGAGGGCCGGCGGUGGGCGCGGCUGAGAUAGCUGGAAGAUGAAAGAUAGCGCCAGUUGUCUGCGUUUGAUGUGAUUGUUGCUUUGACUGACGUCCUGCAACUCGUCAGUGCGCCUUGUGGCAGGCCUACUGUCGGCAAGGCGGUAGCGAAGUGGCUGUCCUGAAGCUGCGAUCGGAACGGGGGGUGCGCAGAUCGUCUGGUCAGGCACUGCCAGCUGCCUAGGGACAUCGAGGCCGCAAAUGAGCCGGUGCCUAACGGUCCGCCGAGUGAUCCUCCCAGCGAGGGUUAGUGAAGACAUAGGCGUAGGAACAGGGGGGGCCGGGGGGGCCAUGGCCCCCCCACUUUUCAGCCAUUUUUUAAAGUAAAAUCUUUAUUUUUGAUUUAAAUACACAACUAAGCGCAGGAAAUGAUUCAGCAAGGUGAGAUGAGCACAAAACUGCAAAGAAUUUCUUCAUAGGGGUAUUGGGGCUCCCACAAACUGACAUUGAAGUUUCGCUGGCCCCCCCACUUUUCGUGAGGUUCCUACGCCCAUGAGUGAAGAAGUGAACUUCCACCAGUUCUGGCGUGCUAGCGGCUAGUGCUAGAGCCGGUACAACCCAAUUCCGUCCCACGCCCCCAUGGGGGAUGCCGCCGCUGUCGUUUUUUUUUUUUUGUACAUUGACCUGUGUGAUGUAUUGAAAUAUACACUUCUUACAUGCCUU